rfam:Ictidomys tridecemlineatus contig085813, whole genome shotgun sequence.
UGGGGUGUAGCUUAGUAGUAGAGCACUUUCCUUGAUGUGCAAGGCUUGGGUUCAAUCCCUAGCACCUCAA